rnacentral:rRNA from 1 species
AGCUUGCUCUUGUGGAUCAGUGGCGAACGGGUGAGUAACACGUGAGCAACCUGCCCCUGACUCUGGGAUAAGCGCUGGAAACGGCGUCUAAUACUGGAUAUGUGACGUGACCGCAUGGUCUGCGUUUGGAAAGAUUUUUCGGUUGGGGAUGGGCUCGCGGCCUAUCAGCUUGUUGGUGAGGUAAUGGCUCACCAAGGCGUCGACGGGUAGCCGGCCUGAGAGGGUGACCGGCCACACUGGGACUGAGACACGGCCCAGACUCCUACGGGAGGCAGCAGUGGGGAAUAUUGCACAAUGGGCGAAAGCCUGAUGCAGCAACGCCGCGUGAGGGAUGACGGCCUUCGGGUUGUAAACCUCUUUUAGCAGGGAAGAAGCGAAAGUGACGGUACCUGCAGAAAAAGCGCCGGCUAACUACGUGCCAGCAGCCGCGGUAAUACGUAGGGCGCAAGCGUUAUCCGGAAUUAUUGGGCGUAAAGAGCUCGUAGGCGGUUUGUCGCGUCUGCUG